rnacentral:miRNA from 1 species
AUCACCUGGGGAUCAUGUUAAACUGCAGGUAUUUAGCCAACUGGGGUGGAGCCUGAGAUUCUGCAUUUCUAGCAAGCUCUUAGGUGAUGCC